AUGCCUGAGAAGGUCAAGCAGACAGAGACUAAAACAACAGAAGUUGGGUUAAUAAAGGCCAAACCGAAAGUUAAGGAGGAGAAAGCACUUCAGACUGUAACUAAAUCAGAAAAGAAAGAUCAAUAUGCAUUCUGUCGCUAUGUGAUUGACAUGUUUGCGCAAGGGGAUUUUUAUCCAGGACAUAAGGAAAUGGCAUCACCUCGUCUUCUUCUAGAACAUAGUCCAAGAAAGAAAACAGCAGCUAUUGAAGAAGAGAAGUCUAUUGUGGUAACUAAGGAAGUGAAAAAAAGAAAGGAUGAAAAGAAAAGGACUGAUAUAAGGAGGUCUGUUACUGAAACUAAGAAGAAAGAAAAAGAAGGAAAAAAAGAGAAAGCUCAUGAGAAGACAGCUGUCCCUGAAAUUAAAAAAGCAGAUAAAAAAGAAGCUGCUGUGUUCAAAGAACUCAAAAAGCCAGCAAAAGACCCUGCAGCUAAUCCAUCCACCAAAAAAGCAGUAACACCAGAAACACAUAGGAAAGAAAAAAUGGUGGAUACUGCCAAAACAGCAAAGAAAGAAGCAAAAGUACAUGCAUCUGUGGAAACUCUGAAGUCAAAAGCAGCACCUGAAAAGAAGGAAGAAAAAGCAAUGAAGGCAGGAGAGCAAGAUCCUGGAAAAGACAAAGAAUUGAAAUCUCCAGCGGCUACAAAAGAUAAAGAACACACUAAAGAAAAGGAAGGAAAGAAUCCUAUAGCUUUAAAAGAUAAAGAGUCUCUGAAAGGAAAAAAUCCCAAGAAUCCAGAGGGGUCAAAGGAAAAAGAUUGA
rnacentral:lncRNA from 1 species